rnacentral:rRNA from 1 species
ACACGACUCUCGGCAACGGAUAUCUCGGCUCUCGCAUCGAUGAAGAACGUAGCRAAAUGCGAUACCUGGUGUGAAUUGCAGAAUCCCGCGAACCAUCGAGUCUUUGAACGCAAGUUGCGCCCGAGCCAUUCGGCAGAGGGCACGCCUGCCUGGGCGUCACGC